rnacentral:rRNA from 1 species
UACGUAGGGAGCAAGCGUUGUCCGGAAUCAUUGGGCGUAAAGAGCUCGUAGGCGGUGUGUCGCGUCGGCCGUGAAAACCUGGGGCUCAACUCUGGGCGUGCGGUCGAUACGGGCAUCACUUGAGUUCGGCAGGGGAGACUGGAAUUCCUGGUGUAGCGGUGAAAUGCGCAGAUAUCAGGAGGAACACCGGUGGCGAAGGCGGGUCUCUGGGCCGAUACUGACGCUGAGGAGCGAAAGCAUGGGUAGCGAACAGG